rnacentral:rRNA from 1 species
GACGAACGCUGGCGGCGUGCUUAACACAUGCAAGGCGAACGGUAAGGCCCCAGCUUGCUGGGGUACACGAGUGGCGAACGGGUGAGUAACACGUGGGUGACCUGCCCCGCACUUCGGGAUAAGCCUGGGAAACUGGGUCUAAUACCGGAUACGACCGCACCGCGUGGGUGGGGUGGAAAGUUAUUCGGGGUGGGAUGGGCCCGCGGCCUAUCAGCUUGUUGGUGGGGUAAUGGCCUACCAAGGCGGCGACGGGUAGCCGGCCUGCGAGGGUGGACGGCCACAUUGGGACUGAGACACGGCCCAGACUCCUACGGGAGGCAGCAGUGGGGAAUAUUGCACAAUGAGCGGAAGCCUGAUGCCGCGACGCCGCGUGGGGGAUGACGGCCUUCGGGUUGUAAGCUCCUUUCACCAUCGACGAAGGUUUUCUGACGGUAAAUGGAGAAGAAGCACCGCCUAACUCCGUG